AAUCAACAAAAGUCCCUGCCAUCUUGGCCUCUACGUUCAGCAGAGGGAGACGGACUAAAGAAAGAAAUAAAACGGAUAGAAUGUUGAUAUGUGGCCACUGAAGGGCUUUGAGCAGAGUGACAUGAUCUGACUUAGAGAGGAAGGGAGAG